UUCCAUUCCUAUCCUGGGGCAAGGAUUUUGCCUUUCUCCCCUGUAGUGUCAAUAAGCUGAGUGUUAAGAGCUGAAUAAAUACUCGAUGGAUGAUUGUUUACUUCAUACUGAGAAUUCUGACUCCCAAGGCUGUUACAUGCAUAACCGUUCCUGUUGAAUGGUUAAAUCUUGUUUUACAUAGGUGACGUGUGUGUGUGUGUGUGUGUGAUUACAUUAUAUGUUUGUGUGCAUGUACUUGAGUAAAAGCAAUGGGAAGCAAGGAAAAUAAAAAACAACAAUAGUGUUUUUUUCCCUUAAAUCCACUCAAAAUAGUAAAUCUAGAAACAAAACGAGAGGUGUUUUUCUGCUCCACUCCGAGGGUUGGGCACACACUCUUCAGUUCCUGUGAGGAGCCAGGUCCAGGGCCCAGCCUCCCUUUGAGGAGAGAAUAAAAGAUACAGUUAAUUGGAGCCACAUUUAGUGCUGUGGAUUUGCCUGGCAUCCUCUCAAUCAGGCUGAGACAAAUUUCUGUGCCAGAAAUGGAGGCUCUGGAGAGAAGACAUCCAAGCUUGAUUAAUUUUUAGACCUGCCUGAGAGCGUAUCUUCUGGACCCAGAGCUGGGGCUGGAAGAGAAAGCGGCCCCCAAAUCUGCUCCUCGAGGAACAGCUCCAAUCAGAGGCCUAUGUACUGAGUGGGAAGUCAGCUGCAGGAGGGUGAUUUUAUUGUGGAACUUACAGACAGAAAGGUUUUCUUGGGGGUGCUACAUGAAGAUCUACGCUCUGUUACCUCCCAGACCCAGGGAUUACACGACAUAAGGAAAAGAGUUUCACUCCUGUUACCCAGGCUGGAGUGCAACGGCGCAUCCUUGGCUCAUCGCAACCUCAGCCUCCUGGGUCCAGGCAAUUCUCCUGCCUCAGCCUCCUGAGUAGCUGGGAUUACAGGCACGCGCCACCAUGCCCAGCUACAUUUUUGUAUUUUUAGUAGAGACGGAGUUUCACCAUGUUGACCAGGAUGGUCUCAAUCUCUCGACCUCGUGAUCCAC
rnacentral:lncRNA from 13 species